UACGGAGGGGGCUAGCGUUGUUCGGAAUUACUGGGCGUAAAGCGCACGUAGGCGGCUUUGUAAGUUAGAGGUGAAAGCCCAGGGCUUAACCCUGGAAUUGCCUUUAAGACUGCAUCGCUAGAAUCGUGGAGAGGUGAGUGGAAUUCCGAGUGUAGAGGUGAAAUUCGUAGAUAUUCGGAAGAACACCAGUAGCGAAGGCGACUCACUGGACACGUAUUGACGCUGAGGUGCGAAAGCGUGGGGAGCAAACAGG
rnacentral:rRNA from 1 species